rnacentral:rRNA from 1 species
AUUGAACGCUGGCGGCAGGCCUAACACAUGCAAGUCGAACGGUAACAGGAAGCAGCUUGCUGCUUCGCUGACGAGUGGCGGACGGGUGAGUAAUGUCUGGGAAGCUGCCUGAUGGAGGGGGAUAACUACUGGAAACGGUAGCUAAUACCGCAUAAUGUCGCAAGACCAAAGAGGGGGACCUGCGGGCCUCUUGCCAUCGGAUGUGCCCAGAUGGGAUUAGCUUGUUGGUGGGGUAACGGCUCACCAAGGCGACGAUCCCUAGCUGGUCUGAGAGGAUGACCAGCCACACUGGAACUGAGACACGGUCCAGACUCCUACGGGAGGCAGCAGUGGGGAAUAUUGCACAAUGGGCGCAAGCCUGAUGCAGCCAUGCCGCGUGUAUGAAGAAGGCCUUCGGGUUGUAAAGUACUUUCAGCGGGGAGGAAGGGAGUAAAGUUAAUACCUUUGCUCAUUGACGUUACCCGCAGAAGAAGCACCGGCUAACUCCGUG